UUCAUUCUUAUGCAGGGUGAUUGUUUGGUGCUGAUACAACAUUGACUUUUCCCAUAAUUUAGCUUAGAGUGUUUUACACUGGGGAGUUCCAAUGUGUUUAAAUUGUAAAACUUUUUCCGAGCAUUUUUGUAGCAGAACUCCAUGUUCUAAUAGCCCCGGCAAAGUUGUUUUUAAUACUUUUUCUCUACGAAUUUUCAUUAAAAUUUAAUUCCAUUUUAACUUUGUCAAUUUUCCCCAAAGAUAAAUUAAGACACACAGAGAGAUUGUCAUUUCCUGUUUGAAGUCUCAUUCCUGUGUACAAUGUCAGUCUUUUUUAUUUAGGCCUAUGCCAUUCCAUCAGGGUAAAUAACUUUCUAACUAGUCAUUUAAGAGCAACUCCCGGGAAACUGUGAUGCAAUCCCACAUAUCAGCCAGACUUCAAAAGCUGCCAGAUUAUUGUGAAAGGAGAAACACUGUUUUCGAAGGCUGCUGAUAAUGCCUAUUAGCCAGAAGAAAGAGCCUGAAUCAUUCAAAGGUUUUCCAUCUAGUAAAGAAGUGUGGUAAAAAUCUUGCCCAGAUCUGCAUGUGCUAAGCAUCUACGUAAGUUGGAGCAUCAUAUUAAUGACACCCAGUGAAGAAACGAAAGAAUGAAGUGUAAUUACUAUAUCAAAAAUCCACAGAAUGUGAAAGUAUAAAGGAAAACUCUCAGUCACACACACAAAACAGGAAACCAGCAGUUGUAAUUUCUUCAGCAAUUCUUAAUCUGCUCAGCUAAAAACUUUGGAGUUAGACAUAUGGACAGCCCACCCCAAGGGAAGAAUCAGAGGAGAAGGGACACAAGACCCCAGAAACACACAAAGCACCUUAAUAUGCAUGCUGCAUCUCUCUAAAAUUGUGGAACCUGUUUACCUGCUCUGGAGAAUGGCUGCCUGUGGCAGACAUAGGAGUUGUCCUCAUGCUGUGCUUCCUAUCUUCCACAGUAAUUGACUUGUAGCUGCAAUACAGUUACCAACCAGGAAUACAAUUUCUCAGCCCCAUGUCUUGCACCUACAGCUAAGUGUGGCCAUGUGACCAGUUUUCACCAAUUAAGUGUGAAUAGCAACAAAGUGCACCACCUUCAAUUGGAGGCUUUGAAGAAGCAGGGCAGCCUUCCCUUGCUCUCUUUCCCCUUGUUCUGGUGGGAUACAGAUGACAAUAAGGCCCUGGGUUUUGAGGUAGCCACAAGAUGCAAAAUACCUCAGACCUGAGUCACCACAAGGAAGAGAGAAGCCCACUGACAUGGAAUACCCAGCCUAGUCUACAGAUGAAUAAGAAAUAAACUUCUAUUAUGUUCGAACAUUACAGAUUUUGUUCUGUUAUAGCAGUUUAUCUCACCCUGACUAAACUGUUGCCUAUCUUCCAAGAUAGGCCCUCCUUCCCUGAAAGUGACUUUUUCAUACAUGUAAUCUGUAUUUUAAUUCAUAUUCUCCAAAGCAUAUCCACAUCUAUUCAACUAUUUUCAUGUCUUCCAUCAAUAAAAACCUCAUAUAAAUAUAUACGAGGUUUUUUUUUUUUUUUUUAAGACACUUUGGAGUUAUCCUUGACCCUGUCCUCUUUUCUCAUACCCAUAUACGAACCAUUAAGAAAUCUUGUUGCCUCAACCUUCAAAAUCUAUCCAGGAUUUAACCACUAAUCAACCCCUUCUCCUCUGUCAGUCUGUCCUCCUAGAUUUCAUCUUGACCAUCCUUAGAAACUCCUAACCAGUCUUAUUGCUUUCGCCAUUGUACAUCCAGACUAUUCUCAAAUGGCAACCAAUGAGAUCGUGCUGCACUUCUGCUCAAAACCUGCAAAUGGCUUCCUACCUCACUUAGGGUAAAACCAAAUGGGGCCUGCACAAUCUGGCUUCACCUCCUAGUGCUUUCCUCCUUGCUCAUUCAGCCCAGCCACACUGCUCUUCUUGCUUUUCCAUGAACAUGCUAGACACACUCUCACGUUUGGGCUUUUGCACUUGUUUCCCUUCCCAGAAUGCUCUCCUCGUGGAUACGCACAUAUCCAGCCCCUUAUCUCCUUCAAAUUUUAGUUCAAAUGCCACUUUCUCAAUGAGGGUUUUCUAACCAGCCUAUUUAAACUUACAGUCUCCCAUUGUCUAAAGCCUUGUCUCCCUUCCUGCUUUACUUUUCUUCAUAGUAAUUACCACCAUCUGACUUAUAUUUGCUUGCCUUUCUUGUUGAUUUUCUGUUUUACCCACUCAAAUGUAGUCCAUAAGGGAAGGGAUUGUUGUUUCAUUUGUUCACUUCUCUAUCCCCUGGGCCUGAGCCUGGCUUUGGGUAGGCACUCAGUUAAUGUUUGUGUAAAUUAAUAAAUGAAUGAAUGACAUUUACUACCUUAUAUGGUACUAUAAUAUAAAAGCAUAUGAUGCAGAGAAUUAGGAAUCUAGAAACUAGUUUUGACUCAGCAUCCUAUGUACAAGGUUAUGUAGACAAGUCAUUUCACCUCUCUGAGCCUCAUUUUUCUAAUAUUUAAAAUCUACCCUCCAGAGCUGUAAAGUGUUCAAAUAUAGAUUAUCUUAUGGAGUGCAGUCUCAUGCUUGCACAAUGAAAGAAGUUAAUUUCUACAUACCUUCCAUGUACCCACAAUCAAUGGUUUAUGUAAACCUCACCUCAGGAAAAUUAAGUUCUGUAUGAGCAGAUUUUUUUUUAAAUUGCCACUGAAAUAAAUACCAAAUUAAGCCAAAUAAAUACCAAAACAGACUUUGCAUUUUUCAUCUUUAGCCAAGCUCCUCUGGUUUGCAUACUCAUAAUAUAAUUCAAAUGACCAUUUUUGGAGUUUUGAUUUUUAGUGCUCUUUUUCUCUGCUAGGAGAAAUGAAUAUCUGAUGCUUUGUUUUUCCAAAUUGUUGUAUGAAAACUGAGUAAUGCUAUAAAGCUUUUUAAAUAUUUUAGAGGUAUAGCAAGUGAACUAUUUUAUAAGUUUCUGGGAUUUUUGAAAAUAUUUUUUAUUUUUAAUUUUUACUGAGACAGGGUCUUGCUCUGUUGCCCAGGCUGGAGUGCAGUGGUGUGAUCUCAGCUCACUGCAGCCUCUGCUGCCCAGGUUCAAGCGAUUCUCAUGCCUCAGCCUCCCAAGUAGCUGGGACUACAGUCCUGUGCCACCAUGCCUGACUAAUUUUUUUUGUAUUUUUAGUAGAGAUACGGUUUCGCCAUGUUGGCCAGUCUGGUCUCGAACUCCUGACCUCAAGUGACCUGCCCACCUCAGCCUCCCAAAGGGCUGGGAUUACAGGCAUGAGCCACUGCACCCAGCCUGAACAUAUUUUUUAUGUUCAAUAUAAUGUUGACUACCUAGUAAAGUCAUAUUUGUUCAAAUUCCCCUGAUUUAUUUUCUAAUGAAUACCUCGAUAUUUCUCUUAUAUGCUGGUCACUUAUCAAAUGAUUCCCAGUGAACACUUUUGAUUGAUUAAUGUAUAACUUGAUCAGGUACUGAAUUUGCAUUUGCUUAGUAAGGCCCACCUUGAAAAAUAGUGCAAAUAAUUUAUUCAGGUCAGAUAGGGAGAAAGAAAUCAUAAAAAUACUAAACCAAACAAACUUUAGAAGUGGCUGUUAAUAGAUAAGAUUUUCAAGGCCCAUGAUAAAGGGAUUCUAGUUCUAGAUCUGCUUUCCAUAUUCUUCAAUUCCAAGGGACAUCUUCAGCGUAGCUCCUGACUGGCCUGGCUAACGCUUCGUGCAUCCUUUCUUGAGCUUUGAAGUUUGUCCUGUUUGCCCCUCAAUCCUCAUAAGGUCUCCUUGUGCAUGUGCCCCUCCCUGAGUUUGUGUGUGAGUUGCUGUCUCAUUCCUGGUCUAUGUUCCCUAUGUUUUUAUUUCCUAUCUUUUAGUAUGUAAGUAGGUAGAUAGACAGAUUGACUGAUGAUUGAUUGAUAGAAAUAGAUAUAUAAUUUAUUUUCCCAUGGGUAGAUCUUUAAGGUUUUCAGGCAUGGGAGUAAGAUAACCACCCUAUCCCUCUGUGUGGUGGAAUAGGGUAGAGUAUGGCUGUGGCCAGAGAGACAACAGAACAGUGUAAGAAAGUGUAAAAGUCUUGAACUAUAGCAUAGAUACGCAAGAAAUAAAUGAAAAUGCUGCUGUUUAAUGUGCUGUUUGCAAUUUUUAAAAGUCUAUCAGUGGGAGAAUUGAAUAGGUAAAUAAAGUUUUCAUUGUUAACUUUGUAACAAUAAGUUUCUGAUAAUCUGUAACACAACAAUAAAGUAAGAAAGCUCAAAAGUAUUCUCAAAUUUCCCCAUCAGGGAAUAAUUUCUUCCUGAAUAUCACUCACAGCUCCCUGGAAUAAUAAUACAGUAUAACCUUUUUAUUCAAUUGACACCUAUGAGCCAAUUUCUAUUGUUUCUCAACCAACCCUCCUACUCUUCACCAGUCUGUGUUGGGGCCAUAUCUAUGUAUUCACAUACAUAGUAUUCUUUUCUUACAUCUAUCCUAGAAUAUGUAUGUAUAACACCAUAAUACAAGUCAACUGUCUCUUAUCUGCAACCACAAAUCCAUAAAGCUCUGAAAACCAGAAGUUUGUUUUAUGAUUGGUACCAAAAUUUAUUUUGUGCAAAACCUGGCUUGAACAGACAUGAGGCUUGCUAGCUGAUAUGCCCCACUAGAUGGUGAGCUUUAUGGAGGCAGUCUUGAUUCCUCCUGUCUGCCUGGUAUCUAGUGAAUCUCAACAAAUAUCAAAUAUUUGGAAUAAGCAAAUGAAUAUUUUCUAUCAAUUUAAUAUAUUUGAAUUUAUUAGUCUUCCUCUGUUGUUCUUAUUUGUUUUUUGAGACGGAAUCUCACUCUGUCACCCAGGCUGAAGUGCAAUGGCAUGACCACAGCUCACCGCAGCCUCAAACUCCCAGGCUCCAACAAUCCUCCUGCCUCAGCCUCUUGAGUAGCUGAGACUACAGGCACACACCACUGCACUCAGCUAAUUUUUGUGUUUUUUUGUAGAGAUGGGGUUUCGCCAUGUUGGCCAGGCUGGUCUUGAACUUGGCUCAAGGGAACCACCCACCUCAGCCUCCCUAAGUGUUGGGAUUACAGACAUGAGCCACUGCGCCUGGCCUCUGUUCUUAUUUUUUAAAUGUUAAAACUUUGAGAAAACAAGAGUUAGGGCUAAUAAGUGCUUUUCAAAAAUUUAUUUUUAAACUGAAAAUAUAAACAUUUGGUCAGAUUGAAAAAUCAAUGAUGGAACCAAGAAUAAUAUAGUGUUUCCUGAGUUUUAGAUUAGUAUUUUCUUACCUAGAUAAGACUAGUAUUAUGAAUGCCAGAUAAUUCCAAGGCCAAGAAAAACAACUUUCUUUAAAAUCUAUUAAAAUGUUAUGAGUGAAAAUGAUGAAAAUAACGUUAUUUUACUCCUGUGCCUGAAAACACUUAAGGGGUCCCCACUGGGGAAAAAUAUGAAUCAAUAUCUACAUAUGUAUAUAUUUACUUAUACAUAUAUUAUACCACUAAAAAAUCAGAAAUAAGAAGGUAGGGCAGAUAGAUCAAGAAUGACAUAGCAACUUACAUACGAACUUAGGUAGGAGAACUUGUAAAUGUAUUUUGAAUAUUUGAUGCUUCUCCAGAUUCUUUCACCUUUUCUUUAUACAUGCUUUUAUGUGGGUUCACAUAUAUAAAAAUUAUGUAUAUUGUAUACAAGUUUGUAUUUUUUUCUACAUUUUGAGGAAAUUUUGAGGAAGCAAACUUCUGCUUUAUGAAACAUCCACUCAUGACAUCAAUAAUUGCCAAGUAGAAUCUUUUUCAUAAAACACUCAUGACCUAAAUUGAAAAACAUAAAAGUUUUAUUGAAGUUACAAAUGUCAGGACACAAGUACUGUUAUCAAAUAUUAGAAUUAUGAUAUACCAUAACAUCUAUUAUUCUGCCUUGCAUUAUCAUUCUAAAUUUUGUAAAUAUUUGUUGGGUCAUAAAGAAAUAAAUUUCUCUUUGAGCCAUCUAACUUACUUCCUUCUAAUAUCCAAUUUAUUGAAUAGGAUGCCAUUCUAUUUCCUCCGAUGAAUUUUCAUCUGAUGUCCAUUUGCAGUUCACCCUUAAACAACAUGGAUUUGAACCGCAUGGGUCUAUUUAUACGUGAAUUUUUUUUAGUAAAUAUAUUGAAAAAUUUUUUGGAGAUUUGCAACAACUUGAAAAAACUUGCAGACAAACUGCAUAGCAUAGAAAUACUUUCGAAAAUUUUUUUUUGGCCGAGCGCGGUGGCUCAGGCCUGUAAUCCCAGCACUUUGGGAGGUCGAGGCGGGCAGAUCACCUGAGCUCGGGAGUUUGAGACAAGCCUGGCCAACAUGGUGAAACCCCGUCUCUACUAAAAAUACAAAAAUUUACCGGGCAUGGUGGUGGGCGCCUGUAGUUCCACCUACUCGGGAGGCUGAGGCACGAGAAUCACUUGAACCCGGGAGGCGGAGGUUGCAGUGAGCCGAAAUAGCACCACUGCACUCCAGCCUGGGUGACACAGCCAGAUUCCGUCUCAAUAAAUAAAUAAAUAAAUAAAUAAAUAAAUAAAUAAAUAAAUUUUAAAGUUAGGGCCAGGCACGGUGCUUCACACUUACAAUCCCAGCACUUUGGGAGGCUGAAGCGGAAGGAUCAUUUGAGCCCAGGAGUUUGAGACCAGGAGUUUGAGACCAGGAGUUUGAGACCAACCUGAGCAACAUAGUGGUACCCCAUUGCUACAAAAAAAUAAAAAGUAAAAAGUUAGCAAGCUGUGGUGGCACUCCUGAAGUCCCAGCUCCUCAGGAGUGGGAGGAUCACUUGAGCCUGGAAGGUUGAGGCUGCAGUGAUCCUUGAUCGCAAACACUGUGCUCUAGCCUGGGUGACAGAAUGAGACCCUGUCUCAAAAAAAAAAAAAAAAGAAAAAAGAAAAAAAGAAAAGAAAAGAAAAAAAUAGGAAUAGAAAAAGUUGGGUAUGUCAUGAGUGCAUAAAUACAUAAAUAUGUGUAGCCACUAAUCUAUUUUAUCAUUUACUGCCAUGAAAUACUUGAGUCGGCCAAACCAACCCCUUCUCUUCCUCUUCCUCUUCAGCCUACUCAACAUGAAGACAAUGAGAAUUAAGACUUUAUUAUUAUCCACUUCCACUUAAUGAAUAGUAAAUAUAUUUUUUCUUAUGAUUUUCAUAAUAUUUUACUUUCUCUAGCUUACUUUAUUGUAAGAAUACAGUAUAUAAUACAUGCAAUAUACAAAAUAUGUGUUAAUUAACUGUUUAUGUCAUUGGUAAGGCUUCUGGUCAACAGUAGCCUACUAGUAGUUAAUUUUGGGCGGAUCUAAAAGUUAUACAUGGGUAAUUGACCAUGUAGAAGUCGGCACACCUAACACCCAUGUUAUUCAAAGGAUUCAUGGGUCAACUGUAUUUCACUAUUUUUAUCUAUUUGUAAAUUAUUAAUAAUUGCUUUAUGUAUAAAAACAACAGCUGUCUCAUCAUCAUUAUAAUGUCAAUUGUUCCAUCCUUAUACUAUUAAUAUGAUAAAUAUACAUUUAUACUUCAAAUGACAGAAAAGUAGGCAUUAAUCAGCAAAGCAGUUCAGGAAAAUUAAUCUGGCAGGACUGAAUAAAAUGGGCUUGAAGAAAGUAGGCUUAAAGCAGAAAUAUAUUGGCUAGGACUCCAUUGCCAUUAUCUAAACAAGAAUUAAUGAGUUUCCUAACUGGGAAUGAAAUAGAAGAAAUGGAAAGAAGGGACAGUUUUAAAAUGUAAUGAAGGGAAAAUUGAUGCAAUUGGAUAACUGGUUGAAUAUAAGAAGCAAGACAGACUAUCAUAAUUGUUAGAUAUUUCAGAUAAUGUGGGCAUGAAAGAAAGAGAUGCCAAGAUGGUAGUAGGUAGUAGAGAGAAGGCCAAGGAAAUACUUGUAUUUCCUGAAGUUGGGAAAUACUUAUACUUGAAGAGUGUAGAAAGGAAGGAAUCAGCAGAGAGAGCUAAGGAGAAGCAAAAGAACAAUUUCACAAAAACAUGGAUUUAAAGAAGUAGUGGGCAGCAAUAUUCAGUGCCGCAGAAAAGGCUCUAGAUUUUAUGAGUAGGAAGUCUCGUGACCUUUAAGAGCACAGGGUUCCAUAGAAGGGUGAGGACAGAAACGAAAUUUGAAAGGAUUAAGGAAUGAGUGAAGUAUAAGAAAAUGUGACAGUAUUUUUUCAAAAUGAAUAAUCAAGCAAUGAAACAUGGAGGAACCUCAAAUGCAUGCCACUAAGUAAAAGAAGCCAGUGUGAAAAGGCUGCAUGACUGUAUGAUUCGAGCUACAUGGCAUUCUGGAAAGGGCAAGCCAUGGAGACAAUGAAAAGAUCAACGGCUGCCAGGGAUUGCAGGGAGGAAAGGAUAAACAGGCAGAGCACAUCAAAUUUUUAGGGCAGGGAAACUAGUCUGUAUUAUACUAUAAUGGUGGGUACAUGUCAUUAUGCAUUUGUCAAAACCUGUAAAAUGUACACCAAAAGUCAACUCUAAUGUACAUUAUGGACUGAGUGAUUAUGAUGUGUCAGUGUAGUUCAUUGGUUGGAACAAAUGUACUCUGGUGGGAGACGUUAAUAGUAGAUGUUGGCCGGGCAUGGUGGCUCACGCCUGUAAUCCCAGAAUUUUGGGAGGCCGAGGAGGGUGGAUCACGAGGUCAGGAGUUCAAGAGCAGCCUGGCCAAGAUGGUGAAACCCUGUCUCUACUAAAAAUACAAAAAUUAGCCCAGCAUGGUAGCAGGCGCCUGUAAUCCCAGCUACUUGGGAGGCUGAGGCAGAGAAUCACUUGAACCCGGGAGGCAGAGGUUGAGUGAGCCGAGAUCACGCCAUUGCACUCCAGCCUGGCAAUAGAGUGAGACUCCAUCUCUAAAUAAAUAAAUAAAUAAAUAAAUAAAUAAAUAAAUAAAUAAAUAAAAUGAAGUCAAUUUUAAAAGAAUGUAUAACCAUUUUUAUUAAUAUAAACUUCUGUGUUACAUACAUGUAUUACUUUUAUUGUAUCAUUUUAUAGCCCUUAAAAAUUUCAACAAAAUGUAAAAAUGUAUUUUUGUGACCAAUGAAAUAAGUGGAGUAAAGUGAUAUUGUUCAGCUAAAUAUAUGAUAGAUAUAAGAAUUUAGUUACAUUUCUGGAAUGACAGAGUGGUGAUGAAUUUUAUAGCAUUAUGACGUAAGUAAGAAAUGUUAGGUCUGUCUUCGGAUGUCUAUUGUAUGUUCCAGUUAUUUAUUGCUGUGUGUAACACACCACACCAAAACUUAGUAGCUUAAAACAGUCAUUUAUUGUUAUGUUCCAUUUUUCUGGGGGUUGACGAAGCUGAGCGUUACUCACUUUUGUGUCCUUCAAAUGGUUGCAGAAAUAUGACAGAUGAGGCUGGAAUUCUGAAAGCUUCUUUACUCACAUGCCUGGCUCCUAGACUAGAAUAGCUAGAAUACCUGUGGGCUGGUCAGGAUUUCUCCCUCUUUUGUCUCUCCACAUAGCCAUAGUGUGGCUUGGGUUUCAAACAGCGUGGCAUUUCAAGACCAGGAAUUCCAGGAGACCCAGGUAGAAGCUUCAAAGUGUGGGAAGUGUUGGAAGUCAUACAGCGUCACUUCCACUAUAUUCUAUUUGGCAAAUCUGUCACAAAUGAGCCCAGAUUCAAGGGAGUAGAGCAAUAGAUAGAUACAGGGAGGAGAGAAAUUGAUGGUAGCCAACUGAAAACAAGAAACAAGCUACCACAAUCUAUUUAGGGGAUAUUUAUAAAAACAUAGAGACACACAUGCACAAACAACACACACGUACACACAUACAUGCAGAUAAAUACAUUUUUAUGAAAAAAUUAAGAAUUAUUAUGAAUGUUCAAGUAUACAAUAAUAUGCAAAGGGAAAACCUUAAUAAUUAAAGUAGGAAAUGAGACUAACUCUGAGAAGAGUAAUCAAAGACAUUGUAUUUUUUUUUCAG
rnacentral:lncRNA from 1 species